rnacentral:rRNA from 1 species
UCUAAGCAGAGCCCUUGAAUGGUAAAGCCGCGAAUGGCUCAUUACAACAGCCACAGUUUAUUGGGUCUCCAUUUACUUGGAUAACUGAGCUAAUUGUUGAGCUAAUACACGCACCAAAGCUUCGACCUCACGGGAGGAGCGCAUUUAUUAGAACAAAACCAAUCGGACUUCGGUCCGUCCAUUGGUGAAUCUAAAUAACUUAGCCGAUCGCAUGGUCUCGCACCGGCGACUCACCUUUCAAAUGUCUGCCUUAUCACCUUUCGAUGGUAGUUUAUACGCCUACCAUGGGUUUUACGGGUAACGGAGAAUAAGGGUUCGACUCCGGAGAGGGAGCCUGAGAAACGGCUACCACAUCCAAGGAAGGCAGCAGGCACGCAAAUUACCCACUCCCGGCACGGGGAGGUAGUGACGAAAAAUAACGAGGCGGUUCUCUAUGAGGCCCGCCAUCGGAAUGGGUACAAUCUACA